CGAGGGGGCGUGUCCUUCCGCGGCCAGCUGGGUCCCCGAGGGUCCAGAUCCACGCGCGGGCUGGAGAGCGCGCACGGCUGUGAAGAGGGAUGGAGAUGGAGCCUCAUGACAAAAAUGAAAGUGAACAUGAUGUGGGAAAUAUAAAGAAGAGAUCCCCAAGAUAAGGAUUCUGGAGCAGAAAGAGCACUUCCAAUGAACAACUUAUUCAUCCAAAAGCCAAGACUACUUACUGGAAA